rnacentral:rRNA from 1 species
UACCAUGCAGUCGAGCGGAGAUGAGGUGCUUGCACCUUAUCUUAGCGGCGGACGGGUGAGUAAUGCUUAGGAAUCUGCCUAUUAGUGGGGGACAACAUUCCGAAAGGAAUGCUAAUACCGCAUACGUCCUACGGGAGAAAGCAGGGGAUCUUCGGACCUUGCGCUAAUAGAUGAGCCUAAGUCGGAUUAGCUAGUUGGUGGGGUAAAGGCCUACCAAGACGACGAUCUGUAGCGGGUCUGAGAGGAUGAUCCGCCACACUGGGACUGAGACACGGCCCAGACUCCUACGGGAGGCAGCAGUGGGGAAUAUUGGACAAUGGGGGGAACCCUGAUCCAGCCAUGCCGCGUGUGUGAAGAAGGCCUUAUGGUUGUAAAGCACUUUAAGCGAGGAGGAGGCUACUGAGACUAAUACUCUUGGAUAGUGGACGUUACUCGCAGAAUAAGCACCGGCUAACUCUGUGCCAGCAGCCGCGGUAAUACAGAGGGUGCGAGCGUUAAUCGGAUUUACUGGGCGUAAAGCGUGCGUAGGCGGCUUUUUAAGUCGGAUGUGAAAUCCCCGAGCUUAACUUGGGAAUUGCAUUCGAUACUGGGAAGCUAGAGUAUGGGAGAGGAUGGUAGAAUUCCAGGUGUAGCGGUGAAAUGCGUAGAGAUCUGGAGGAAUACCGAUGGCGAAGGCAGCCAUCUGGCCUAAUACUGACGCUGAGGUACGAAAGCAUG